rnacentral:rRNA from 1 species
CAGUCGCCGCGGUAAUACGGAGGGUGCAAGCGUUAUCCGGAUUCACUGGGUUUAAAGGGUGCGUAGGCGGAUCUGUAAGUCAGUGGUGAAAUCUCCAGGCUUAACCUGGAAACUGCCGUUGAUACUAUAGGUCUUGAAUUUUGUGGAGGUUAGCGGAAUAUGUCAUGUAGCGGUGAAAUGCAUAGAUAUGUCUCAGAACACCAAUUGCGAAGGCAGCUUACUAAGGUAUGAUUGACGCUGAUGCACGAAAGCGUGGGGAUCAAACAGGAUUAGAUACCCCCGUAGUCCCUGUCUCUUAUAC